rnacentral:tRNA from 1 species
UAGCUUAGUGGGUAAAGAAUCUGCCUGAAAGGCAGGAGUCCCAGGGUCAAUUCCUGG